AAGACUAUACUUUCCGGGAUCAUUUCUAUAGUUUGUUACUAGAAGGGAACAGAUAACCUGGUCAACAAUAAUGCUAACAUUUAAUGU
rfam:Myotis lucifugus cont2.22079, whole genome shotgun sequence.